rnacentral:rRNA from 1 species
UACGGGGGGGGGCAAGCGUUGUUCGGAAUUACUGGGCGUAAAGGGCUCGUAGGCGGCCAACUAAGUCAGACGUGAAAUCCCCUCGGCUUAACCGGGGAACUGCGUCUGAUACUGGAUGGCUUGAGUUUGGGGAGAGGGAUGCGGAAUUCCAGGUGUAGCGGUGAAAUGCGUAGAUAUCUGGAGGAACACCGGUGGCGAAGGCAGCCCCCCUGGGCCCAAUCUGACGCUCAUGCACGAAAGCG